rnacentral:rRNA from 1 species
UACGUAGGGUGCAAGCGUUAAUCGGAAUUACUGGGCGUAAAACGUGCGCAGGCGGCUUUGCAAGACAGAUGUGAAAUCCCCGGGCUCAACCUGGGAACUGCAUUUGUGACUGCAUGGCUGGAGUGCGGCAGAGGGGGAUGGAAUUCCGCGUGUAGCAGUGAAAUGCGUAGAUAUGCGGAGGAACACCGAUGGCGAAGGCAAUCCCCUGGGCCUGCACUGACGCUCAUGCACGAAAGCGUGGGGAGCAAACAGG